rnacentral:rRNA from 1 species
UACGUAGGGUGCAAGCGUUAAUCGGAAUUACUGGGCGUAAAGCGUGCGCAGGCGGUUCUAUAAGACAGAUGUAAAAUCCCCGGGCUCAACCUGGGAACUGCAUUUGUGACUGUAGAGCUGGAGUGCGGCAGAGGGGGAUGGAAUUCCGCGUGUAGCAGUGAAAUGCGUAGAUAUGCGGAGGAACACCGAUGGCGAAGGCAAUCCCCUGGGCCUGCACUGACGCUCAUGCACGAAAGCGUGGGGAGCAAACAGG